CCUACGGGAGGCAGCAGUGAGGAAUAUUGGUCAAUGGGCGCGAGCCUGAACCAGCAAAGCCGCGUGAGGGAAGACGGUCCUCUGGAUUGUAACCCUCUUUUAUCGGGGAGCAAAACACACCACGCGUGGCGUUCCGCGUGUACCCCACGAAAAAGCAUCGGCUAACUCCGUGCCAGCAUCCGCGGUAAUAGGGGGGCUGCGAGCGUUCUCCGGAUGUAUUGGGUGUAAAGGGUGCGCAGUGGGAAGAUAAAGUCAGCGGUAAAAUUGAGACGCUCAACCUGUUAGAGCCAGUGAAACUGGUUUGCUUGAGUGAGUGAGAGGUAAGCGGAAUGCGUGGUGUAGCGGUGAAAUGCAUAGAUAUUACGAAGAACUCCGAUUGCGAAGGCAGCUUACUGG
rnacentral:rRNA from 1 species